GACGAACGCUGGCGGCGUGCUUAACACAUGCAAGUCGAACGGUGAAGCGCCUUCCUUUUUGGUGGGUGUGGAUGAGUGGCGAACGGGUGAGUAACACGUGAGUAACCUGCCCCCUUCUUCUGGAUAACCGCAUGAAAGUGUGGCUAAUACGGGAUAUUCUGGGUCUGUCGCAUGAUGGGUCUGGGAAAGAUAUUGUUUCGGUGGGGGAUGGGCUCGCGGCCUAUCAGCUUGUUGGUGGGGUGAUGGCCUACCAAGGCGGUGACGGGUAGCCGGCCUGAGAGGGUGGACGGUCACACUGGGACUGAGACACGGCCCAGACUCCUACGGGAGGCAGCAGUGGGGAAUAUUGCACAAUGGACGCAAGCCUGAUGCAGCGACGCCGCGUGAGGGAUGGAGGCCUUCGGGUUGUGAACCUCUUUCGCCAGUGAAGCAGGCCUGCCUCGUUUGUGGGUGGGUUGACGGUAGCUGGAUAAGAAGCGCCGGCUAACUACGUG
rnacentral:rRNA from 1 species